rnacentral:lncRNA from 1 species
UUGUCUCCUCCGCUCGAUGUCGCCGCAUCCGUCGCUCCGUCUCUAGCAACUGCACAUCCGCGAACUUUUGGAACCCAAACCGUCUUCGCUCCCGUUCUGGCUGUGCUCUCGUUCAGAACGUAUAAGUUCCCACGCUUGUUCGCCUCGCAUACGACCCGAUCUCGUUUUCGGACCCUCAUAGCUCCACCUGAAGCUGAAAUAUCGCAACCCUUCGAGUCCAAUGCGCCUAACGAGAUCAAAUUCCGCUUCAAUCCAGGAACGUGCCGCACACCUGUCAGCGUCCUCACGACCCCAUCGUGCAUUCGGAUCUUUACCGUGCCGACUCCCAAUACUUUGCACGCUGUCCCGUUCCCCAUCAGCGCCUUUCCACCUUUGAUCGCCUUAUAGGUGGCAAAAGACUCAUUCUCCCGGCAUACGUGAAAAGAACACGCCGAAUCGAGCACCCACGCGUCAUCCGAAAUUUUCGCACCUCCGGUCGCUGCAUAUAGCACAUCAGAAUCGAAGAUCUCCGACUCUGCCGUCUGUGCCGUCGCUGAUACCGUCUCGUCCUCGUUCACAACAGUUUUCUCCUUCUGUCACUUUAACUCCUUCAGAUUAUCCUGAAGUUUUCGACAAUUGCGCUUUAUAUGCCCUUUCCUCUGACAGUAAAAGCACUCCACCUCAUAUAGCGGCUUAUUCUGUCGAUCUCCAGUCGUCGAUAUUCUCUCCUCAUUCUUCGCAGUCACCACCAGUCCUACAUCCUGACUUUGCGUGCCGGACUCCUGAGUCAUCUUCCGCAUCUCGUUUGAGAGAAGCGCCGCCAUAACCGCCUCCAC